GAUGAACGCUAGCUACAGGCUUAACACAUGCAAGUCGAGGGGCAGCAUGGACAUAGCUUGCUAUGUUUGAUGGCGACCGGCGCACGGGUGCGUAACACGUAUCCAAUCUGCCCGUUACUCGGGGAUAGCCUUCUGAAAGGAAGAUUAAUACCCGAUGGCAUGUAUUUCCGGCAUCGGAGAUACAUUAAAGAUUUAUCGGUAACGGAUGAGGAUGCGUACGAUUAGCUUGUUGGCGGGGUAACGGCCCACCAAGGCAACGAUCGUUAGGGGGUCUGGGAGGAAGGUCACCCACACUGGGACUGAGACACGGUCCAGACUCCUACGGGAGGCAGCAGUGAGGAAUAUUGGUCAAUGGUCGGAAGUCUGAGCCAGCCAAGUAGCGUGAAGGAUGACUGCCCUACGGGUUGUAAACUUCUUUUGUUUGGGAAUAAAAGACGCUACGUGUAGCGUUCUGAAUGUACCUUACGAAUAAGCAUCGGCUAAUUCCGUGCCAGCAGCCGCCGUAAGAC
rnacentral:rRNA from 1 species